GCUGUGAUGACCGAGAGGUUAAGGUGUUGUACUUGAAAUCUAAUGGGGUCUCCCUGCGCAGGUUCAAACCCUGCUUACAACG